CACCAGCGUCUUGCCUCUGUUUCUCAUGGGUAUAGAACUCUUGAGUCAGAUGAGGCAACAAAGACUAACAGAGGGGCCUCUUGCUAAGUGAUGCUCACAGAAGAACAGGAAGAGAAGCCAGAUGUACAGGAAAGGCCAGAACAUUAGAGAUUGACCCCGAUGAUCGCAACCUAAUCAACGCAAUGAGUGCCACCCCAGCAUGCUUCACUUCAGACUGUGUCUAGAGACUUCAGGUGUGGAAUGACAAUCCUUCAGCUUCAUUACUCAGGGCAGAGAAUGAAUGGACGGAGAGAGGAGGAAAGAGAAAAAGACACUGCAGCAUUACUUCACUGUUCAUGAAACUUCCCUCCCGCAGACACCAGAUUCCAGAUGCCAUCAGGAUGCCGGCCAGACUUUCCUGGACUGAAGACCCCACCAAUAUGUCCUGGAACUCAGCUUCCCCAGAGACCCACCCUACUAGGGAAAGGGAAAGGCAGACUGGAAAUAUGGACCGACCAGUCAACGUCCAUGUUCAGCAGGGAAGCAAUUACAGAAGCCAGACCUUCCACCUUCUGCAACCCACAAUGAUCCU